ACACGGCGGGGGGAGGACCAGAAGAAUCCUUGGUAUCAGAGAGAACGGCAUGAGAGAGGAAACCUGAAGUCUGAAGUUAAAGUGUCUUCAGGUGUGGUUCCUUCUAUGGACCUGAAUUCCAUGGACUUAGAGAAGGAAGCAUAGAAGGAAAGACUCCAUAGCUCUCUCCCAGGUUCUGGGAGUCACUGCCCGAGAGGUCUUAAACUUCCAGUGUGGAUGGCUAGUCCUCACUUCUUUAUCCAGGCAACACACAGCACGGAUGGACAGAAAACCAAACACCUUUGCCAAGAACAAUUACUGAGGGUGUGAAACGAUGAAGACAUAGAGAAUACUGCUGCAUAGAAAUGUUCACAGUUCUUCAAUUUCCAAAAGGAAUUCAGAGGGAGAACUUGGAUUAAUGUAAAUAAUGUGAUUUUUUUGAAAUACAAAUGAAUAUUGAUUGA
rnacentral:lncRNA from 1 species